rnacentral:snoRNA from 1 species
CACUCGGAUGAAAAAGAGCACUCGGCUCGAUAUAACCCAGCUCGUCGAGGAGGGAGUAACGCCCCAUUAUUCCUAUGAGAUAUUUAAUCUUCCUGAUAU